CCUACGGGAGGCAGCAGUAGGGAAUAUUGCUCAAUGGGGGAAACCCUGAAGCAGCAACGCCGCGUGGAGGAUGAAGGUUUUCGGAUUGUAAACUCCUUUUGGUAGAGAAGAUAAUGACGGUAUCUAACGAAUAAGCACCGGCUAACUCCGUGCCAGCAGCCGCGGUAAUACGGAGGGUGCAAGCGUUACUCGGAAUCACUGGGCGUAAAGAGGGCGUAGGCGGGAUAGCAAGUCAGAUGUGAAAUCCUAUGGCUUAACCAUAGAACUGCAUUUGAAACUGUUAUGCUAGAGUAUGGGAGAGGUAGGUGGAAUUCUUGGUGUAGGGGUAAAAUCCGUAGAGAUCAAGAGGAAUACUCAUUGCGAAGGCGACCUGCUAGAACAUAACUGACGCUGAUGCGCGAAAGCGUGGGGAGCAAACAGGAUUAGAUACCCGGGUAGUC
rnacentral:rRNA from 1 species